rnacentral:rRNA from 1 species
UACGGGGGGGGCAAGCGUUGUUCGGAAUUACUGGGCGUAAAGGGCUCGUAGGCGGCCAACUAAGUCGGAUGUGAAAUCCCCAGGCUUAACCUGGGAACUGCAUCCGAUACUGGAUGGCUUGAAUUCGGGAGAGGGAUGCAGAAUUCCAGGUGUAGCGGUGAAAUGCGUAGAUAUCUGGAGGAAUACCGGUGGCGAAGGCGGCAUCCUGGACCGACAUUGACGCUGAGUGAGCGAAAGCCAGGGGAGCAAACGGG